rnacentral:rRNA from 1 species
AGGUCCCGCCUGCCCUGUGACUAUUAGUUUAACGGCCGCGGUAUUUUGACCGUGCGAAGGUAGCGCAAUCACUUGUCUUUUAAAUGGAGACCCGUAUGAACGGCAUAACGAGGGCUUAACUGUCUCCUCUUUCAAGUCAAUGAAAUUGAUCUCCCCGUGCAGAAGCGGGGAUACAAACAUAAGACGAGAAGACCCUAUGGAGCUUUAGACACUAAGACAGCCCACGUUAAGCACCCUGAAUAAAGGACUAAACCAAGUGGGCCCUGCCCUAAUGUCUUUGGUUGGGGCGACCGCGGGGAAUUAAAGAACCCCCACGUGGAACGGGAACACUUUUCCUACAACUAAGAGCUACAGCUCCAGUAAACAGAAUUUCUGACCAGCAAGAUCCGGCAAUGCCGAUCAACGGACCGAGUUACCCUAGGGAUAACAGCGCAAUCCUCUUUUAGAGCCCAUAUCGACAAGGGGGUUUACGACCUCGAUGUUGGAUCAGGACAUCCUAAUGGUGCAGCCGCUAUUAAGGGUUCGUUUGUUCAACGAUUAAAGUCCUACGUGA